rnacentral:rRNA from 1 species
AACGAACGCUGGCGGCAUGCCUAACACAUGCAAGUCGAACGAACCCUUCGGGGUUAGUGGCGCACGGGUGCGUAACGCGUGGGAAUCUGCCCUUUGCUUCGGAAUAACUCAGGGAAACUUGUGCUAAUACCGGAUGAUGUCGAAAGACCAAAGAUUUAUCGGCAAGGGAUGAGCCCGCGUAGGAUUAGAUAGUUGGUGGGGUAAAGGCCUACCAAGCCGACGAUCCUUAGCUGGUCUGAGAGGAUGAUCAGCCACACUGGGGCUGAGACACGGCCCAGACUCCUACGGGAGGCAGCAGUGGGGAAUAUUGGACAAUGGGCGAAAGCCUGAUCCAGCAAUGCCGCGUGAGUGAUGAAGGCCUUAGGGUCGUAAAGCUCUUUUACCAGGGAUGAUAAUGACAGUACCUGGAGAAUAAGCUCCGGCUAACUCCGUGCCAGCAGCCGCGGUAAUACGGAGGGAGCUAGCGUUGUUCGGAAUUACUGGGCGUAAAGCGUACGUAGGCGGUUAUUCAAGUCAGAGGUGAAAGCCCGGGGCUCAACCCCGGAACGGCCUUUGAAACUAGGUAGCUAGAAUCUUGGAGAGGUCAGUGGAAUUCCGAGUGUAGAGGUGAAAUUCGUAGAUAUUCGGAAGAACACCAGUGGCGAAGGCGACUGACUGGACAAGUAUUGACGCUGAGGUACGAAAGCGUGGGGAGCAAACAGGAUUAGAUACCCUGGUAGUCCACGCCGUAAACGAUGAUAACUAGCUGUCCGGGCACUUGGUGCCUGGGUGGCGCAGCUAACGCAUUAAGUUAUCCGCCUGGGGAGUACGGUCGCAAGAUUAAA